rnacentral:rRNA from 1 species
UGAACCUGCGGAGGGAUCAUUACCGAGUUUACAACUCCCAAACCCCUGUGAACAUACCUAUACGUUGCCUCGGCGGAUCAGCCCGCGCCCCGUAAAAAGGGACGGCCCGCCCGAGGACCCCUAAACUCUGUUUUUAGUGGAACUUCUGAGUAAAACAAACAAAUAAAUCAAAACUUUCAACAACGGAUCUCUUGGUUCUGGCAUCGAUGAAGAACGCAGCAAAAUGCGAUAAGUAAUGUGAAUUGCAGAAUUCAGUGAAUCAUCGAAUCUUUGAACGCACAUUGCGCCCGCCAGUAUUCUGGCGGGCAUGCCUGUUCGAGCGUCAUUUCAACCCUCAAGCUCAGCUUGGUGUUGGGACUCGCGGUAACCCGCGUUCCCCAAAUCGAUUGGCGGUCACGUCGAGCUUCCAUAGCGUAGUAAUCAUACACCUCGUUACUGGUAAUCGUCGCGGCCACGCCGUAAAACCCCAACUUCUGAAUGUUGACCUCGGAUCAGGUAGGAAUACCCGCUGAACUUAAGCAUAUCAAUAAGCGGAGGAA